UUAUUUCAAAAAUCAAUAUCUUCUUUAUUUUUAAUCCAAAAAUUAUGGGACCAAUUGCAUUAGUCUCCAAAUAAAUUCUAGUUUCUAUUUCUGAUUUUUAAUGUUUUUUAUUUUAUCGUUUGAUAUGUUUUAUGAAUUUUCUCUUUUCUGGUUGUUUUUAAUUCAUUUUAAAUAGUUUUUGAUAUUCAAAAAAAUACAAAAA
rnacentral:lncRNA from 1 species